GGAAGCAAAAAGUCGUAACAAGGUCUCCGUAGGUGAACCUGCGGAGGGAUCAUUACACAAAUAUGAAGGCGGGCUGGAACCUCUCGGGGUUACAGCCUUGCUGAAUUAUUCACCCUUGUCUUUUGCGUACUUCUUGUUUCCUUGGUGGGUUCGCCCACCACUAGGACAAACAUAAACCUUUUGUAAUUGCAAUCAGCGUCAGUAACAAAUUAAUAAUUACAACUUUCAACAACGGAUCUCUUGGUUCUGGCAUCGAUGAAGAACGCAGCGAAAUGCGAUAAGUAGUGUGAAUUGCAGAAUUCAGUGAAUCAUCGAAUCUUUGAACGCACAUUGCGCCCUUUGGUAUUCCAAAGGGCAUGCCUGUUCGAGCGUCAUUUGUACCCUCAAGCUUUGCUUGGUGUUGGGCGUCUUGUCUCUAGCUUUGCUGGAGACUCGCCUUAAAGUAAUUGGCAGCCGGCCUACUGGUUUCGGAGCGCAGCACAAGUCGCACUCUCUAUCAGCAAAGGUCUAGCAUCCAUUAAGCCUUUUUUUCAACUUUUGACCUCGGAUCAGGUAGGGAUACCCGCUGAACUUAAGCAUAUCAAUAAGCGGAGGAAAAGAAACCAACAGGGAUUGCCCUAGUAACGGCGAGUGAAGCGGCAACAGCUCAAAUUUGAAAUCUGGCUCUUUUAGAGUCCGAGUUGUAAUUUGCAGAGGGCGCUUUGGC
rnacentral:rRNA from 1 species